rnacentral:rRNA from 1 species
UGGGGAAUAUUGCACAAUGGGCGAAAGCCUGAUGCAGCAACGCCGCGUGAGUGAUGAAGGUCUUCGGAUUGUAAAGCUCUGUCUUUUGGGACGAUAAUGACGGUACCAAAGGAGGAAGCCACGGCUAACUACGUGCCAGCAGCCGCGGUAAUACGUAGGUGGCGAGCGUUGUCCAGAUUUACUGGGCGUAAAGGGUGCGUAGGCGGAUGUUUAAGUGAGAUGUGAAAUACCCGGGCUUAACUUGGGUGCUGCAUUUCAAACUGGAUAUCUAGAGUGCAGGAGAGGAGAAUGGAAUUCCUAGUGUAGCGGUGAAAUGCGUAGAGAUUAGGAAGAACACCAGUGGCGAAGGCGAUUCUCUGGACUGUAACUGACGCUGAGGCACGAAAGCGUGGGUAGCAAACAGGAUUAGAUACCCUGGUAGUCCACGCCGUAAACGAUGAGUACUAGGUGUAGGAGGUAUCGACCCCUUCUGUGCCGCAGUAAACACAUUAAGUACUCCGCCUGGGAAGUACGAUCGCAAGAUUAAAACUCUAAAGUGAAUUGAC